AUGUGUGAGUGGAGUGCGCUUGAUGAUUAUGAAACUGAAAUUCGUAGGUUAGUAGAGGAGCAGGGAUACACAUGCACACAAGUUCAAGAGGUCUUACAGCAGCAAUAUGGACUUGGGAUAGGUUCCAGUAUUUCCUCCAUUUCUAAAUUCUGCGCAACGAGGAAUAUUCAUCGUUUCGAUUACGCACGGCUAGGGAGAGAUGGUGUGGAUGCAGUCGUUCGACCAGCAGUUAAUGUUUGCGGCCCUGUGUACGGUAGAAAGAUGAUGACUGGGAUGUUGAGAGCCUCGGGAUACAGGCUAGGUGAAAGAGCUGUAAGGCGUGCACUGGCACAAAUGACCCCGCAAUACACACAGAUGCGAAGAGAGGGAACUGCUCGGCAAACUAAUCCACAUGUCUAUUACGCGGAGUAUGCCGGUCACAAAAUACACAUGGACCAAAACGAAAAGCUUGUGGAUUUUGGAGUGACUGAAGUUGUUGCCACUGAUGGUUUCAGUGGGAAAAUUUUGGGAUUUUCUGUAAUGCCGAUCAAAAAUAAUCUGAUAAUUUAUGACGAUGUGUACAGAGAAAUCUGCUUGAGACAUGGCCUAUUUGAUCAGCUAAGAGUUGAUCAUGGACGUGAAUUUUAUUUAUGUCUGUUUCAACAAGACAAUCUUAGGGACUUUCGCACUAAUGUCAAUAGACCCCCUUUCAUUCAAAGUCAGUCAAGACAGAACCACGCUGCUGAAAGAAAGUGGGUCGAAAUCAACUCGCGAAUAAACUACCCAAUUAAGUACACAUUGUGCGCCUUGGUCAACAAUGGUUUUUUGGACAUUGAUGACCCCUUUUGGAAGCACUGUGUCUCAGCCAUUGCUUCAAAAUGCUGCAUGGUUGGGCUACAGAAUUUCAUCCCUGCCUGGAAUGCACAUACAAUCCCAUCCAAGGGCAUACCCGAUGCUGAACCAGAACAUGUCACUACUCUGUCAUGCUUUAUUUCUACUACCCAUGUUAAUCCUCACCUGAUUCAGAUAAAUCUGAAUAUUAUUUUAAACUGUGUUGGAGCAGGGUUUAAACUAAACUCUGCAGGGUUGUGGCCCUCAGGAACCCCUGGAUUUUCUAUACUUAGAUCUGAAAUUCCUGUCAUUCCUGCAAUUGGAUCUUUUGAUCUGUCUGUAUUUGUAUAUAGCCAUUAA
rnacentral:lncRNA from 1 species